ensembl:lncRNA
AGACACUGAACAGCUGUGGACAGCAUGAGCAUGGCCUCCAUGUGCCCAGCUUCUAUGUCUUCCAAAACUCAGCUUGUCAUGGAGAGCUGUACAAUCUUAUGUGAACGGUAGGGUCUCCUCUUCCUCCUCAGGAAUAGUUGUGAGAGUAUACAGCUCUAAAAAGCAAGGCUUCUUAAAAGACAUCUCCACACAGCAGAUAAAGAUGACAUUUCUCUAAGGAAAUCUAAGCCAUUAUUCUCUGCCUUUAGAGACCUGUUCAAAGAGACUUCAGAAUUGUUCAGUGAAUGACAACUCACAGAAAAUGCCAACUGCUCUUUGAUCAUUCUCUUACUGCUCAAAAAGGCUGUCCUGCUUCAUUUAACAAGAGAAGUCUGAAAUGCAUGAAGAAGAACACAGAACUUCAAAAUACAAGAAGCAAGAAAGUACAUAUCAAAACAAGAGGAUCAACAGGCUGCAUCUCUCAUGCAGAAGUGGAAAUGCUGAGGACAGCCAGAGAGACAGAGCCCUCCUGUGUUUGCAGUGUUUUUAUAAUCUGUAAUAAAAAUCUGUGCUGUGGUUUUGUCUCCCUUGAGUUUAUUCAGGUGGAGGUAUAAAACUGAUGAGUACUGAAGAAGGUCAAAGUUACAUAUUCAUUUUGUUUUCAAUAAUUGAUGAUGUUUCCUGUUUCUACUUACGUUAAUUGCUCUCAGGUGCUGGAGAAUUGCUCAGUGAGUUCCAUUUUAAUUUGUUUCUUUAGAAGAGCAGCAUGCUGCUCUUUGGAACACUGUAAGUAAUGGGUUCCAGGCAGUACUUUCUAACUGGAGGUUAAUAAGGGUGCACUGUCUGUCUGCUUGGGUGCUCUUGCCUUUGUGCGUGUGUGUGUUGUUGUUUCAAAGUGUAAUUCAUGUUGCUCUGAUGUUUAGGGCUAUACAGAUUAAGGCCCUGAUUCAGAAAAGUUCAAAGUACUCAGCUGCUAUUGAUUCCAGUACAGCUGUUGUUAUUCAAUUUCCGCAAAGACCGGGAUCAUAGAUAAUGUAGUUUUGAUGUUUUAGCAAGAAGUAGCCUAGUUGCAUUGUGUCAUUUACCUGUUUUGCUAGAGAAGCUAGAUAAAAAUAAGGUUUACAAACCAAAGUUACUUGAAACUCAUGCAAAAUUGUUUAAUGUGUAUCUGGCAAACAAAGUAACUAUUAUUAACAUUAAUUUUUCCUUUCUUACUCUUUUAAAUGCAGAUAGAGUUUUGUAACUGACAUACCAGUGAGGUUCAGAAUGUGUGGGAGUCUGUGAGUGGAAUUAUAUGUCGUGAUUUGAUUAAAGCAACUACAUCUGUGUUAUGUUACUGUCUGAGGCCUGAACUUCCACUGAAUCUAAACUUCCUGUCCGUCCAGAGGUCCUUGCAUUUUGAGUGUAGUCUAGAGUGACAUAAACCAACUGCUCUGUCUGGCAAUGAGAAUCGAGUGUGGGUUUAGGGUGACUUGAAAUCCAGCCCUGUCUCUCCAGGCAGUUUGGAUGGGUGCUUUUCAGAUUUAUCUGAAUUGCAUGAGGACAAGGUAAGCCCUUCCAUCUGAAGCCUAUUGACUGCACUGUCUGAAACUGACAUUACAGCUUGCUCUUCUAUGGUAGAGCUUAUUGGCUCAUGACCUUUGCAAAUAUUGCAUGUUUUAGUGGUUCAAAUUGAAUGCAUCCUAAGGUUUUUAUUUUUCUGUAGAGACAAAUAAUUUAUCUUCUGGCUUUCCGUUUCCUUCCUGUGUCACUGCAGCAUGCUGUGAUUGUCUGUAUCUUUCUGUUUUCCUGAAGGAAUAAAUAUAUUUCACGUUU